rnacentral:rRNA from 1 species
AUGCAACGCGAAGAACCUUACCAUCCCUUGACAUCCAGAGAAGAGACUAGAGAUAGACUUGUGCCUUCGGGAACUCUGUGACAGGUGCUGCAUGGCUGUCGUCAGCUCGUGUUGUGAAAUGUUGGGUUAAGUCCCGCAACGAGCGCAACCCCUAUCCUUAUUUGCCAGCGCGUUAUGGCGGGAACUCUAAGGAGACUGCCGGUGAUAAGCCGGAGGAAGGUGGGGACGACGUCAAGUCAUCAUGGCCCUUACGGGAUGGGCUACACACGUGCUACAAUGGCCGGUACAGAGGGCAGCAAAACCGCGAGGUUGAGCGAAUCCCACAAAGCUUGUCGUAGUCCGGAUUGGAGUCUGCAACUCGACUCCAUGAAGUCGGAAUCGCUAGUAAUCGUAGAUCAGAAUGCUACGGUGAAUACGUUCCCGGGCCUUGUACACACCGGCCGUCACA